rnacentral:rRNA from 1 species
AUUGAACGCUGGCGGCAGGCCUAACACAUGCAAGUCGAGCGAGCGGCGGACGGGUGAGUAAUGUAUGGGGAUCUGCCCGAUAGAGGGGGAUAACUACUGGAAACGGUAGCUAAUACCGCAUACCAUCAGAUGAACCCAUAUGGGAUUAGCUUGUAGGUGAGGUAACGGCUCACCUAGGCGACGAUCCCUAGCUGGUCUGAGAGGAUGAUAAGCAACACUGGGACGGAGACAAGGCCCAGACUCCUACGGGAGGCAGCAGUGGGGAAUAUUGCACAAUGGGCGCAAGCCUGAUGCAGCCAUGCCGCGUGUAUGAAGAAGGCCAUAGGGUUGUAAAGUACUUUCAGCGGGGAGGCGUUACCCGCAGAAGAAGCACCGGCUAACUCCGUGCCAGCAGCCGCGGUAAUUC